rnacentral:rRNA from 1 species
CGCAAGCCUGACGGAGCAAGACCGCGUGGGGGAGGAAUGCCUUAGGGUUGUAAACCCCUUUUAUCUGGGAAGAACAAAAUGACGGUACCAGAUGAAUAAGCCUCGGCUAACUCCGUGCCAGCAGCCGCGGUAAUACGGAGGAGGCAAGCGUUAUCCGGAAUUAUUGGGCGUAAAGCGUCCGUAGGUGGUUUAGAAAGUCAGUUGUUAAAGCCCAUAGCUCAACUAUGGAUCGGCAAUUGAAACUACUAGACUAGAGUGUGGUAGGGGUAGAGGGAAUUCCUAGUGUAGCGGUGAAAUGCGUAGAUAUUAGGAAGAACACCAGUGGCGAAGGCGCUCUACUGGGCCAUAACUGACACUGAUGGACGAAAGCUAGGGGAGCG